UUGAGUUUAAAACCCCCCUCCAAUAAAACACUACAGUCACAGUAGCCAAUGAGGUUUUAGAGGUUAAAACUCUUCCCUCCAAUAAAAUUGAAAGCCCUUUCAUUUCAAUGGAAAAUGUGCAAGUUUCACUUUAAACAAACCAAUCCUCUAUUUGUUUACAUUUUCAUUUUUGUUAAACAUCUUAUUUACAUCCUUUCAUAACAUAAUAUACAGUGACCUAAAAAUAAAAAGCGGUCGUCUGCAUUUUGUUCAACUAAACUAUUGGAUUAUUUCCCUUUACUUACAAUUGCGUCCCAUUUGCAGAGCAGGAAAUAAACAAACUUUGUAAAAGUACAUUCCGAAAACACUCUACCAUAGCCUAUAUCAUAACAGUGUAUCGGCAUCUACAUAUAAACAAGGAUUAAUGCUUUUCAUUUCAGAGUAUGCUAAUAUUUUAAAGUUACCAUGAAGUCACUGUUAGUGUGUAGUCUCCUGUUAGUGAGCGUUGGUCUGUUGAUGACACCUACCUAUGGAGAUUUUAUUGGCAGGUGUUAUGAAACCUGGAGUCGAUGUUCAACGUGGAGCCGGCGGUAUACAGGUCGGGUCUGGCUCACAUGUGAAGGCAAGUGCCGUAUGUUGGGCAAGAAUGGGGGCAGCUGUCGCCUAACUCGAUCGAAAUGUCCACUUUCUAGGUAUGCCUACCAGUGCCAGUGUUACUAGACAGUUGGUCACGUGAUCUGUAUUAUUUUUUUAUGAUAUAUUUUUUCAAGGGCGUUUUUCUAAAGCUUCCACAUAAAGGACAGUAGACCAUCAGCCGCUUGCUAAUUUAUUUGUAAUGAUCAAAGUGUAUGUAGAUUAUUGCAGACUGUAAAGUAUUUACAAUACUAAAUCUGUGCAUGUUUAUAUGAUAUGUUGAAAUGUCAAAACAAAAAUCAUUUUCAUUAAACCAUUAUUUUAUAUUUAUUUUAUUUUAUCUAUUAUAUAUACGAAAUGUCCCUAUAUAUCUAUAUAUGUUCAAAUGUGUAUGUACAUAUAUAUUGUACUAGACAUAUAUUACCAGCGGCCCGCGGGUUUUUUUUUGGCAUAUAACUGUCGAUGAGUCACUUUGUAAACAAUUAAACGAAAUGAAAUAAUAAUGUUAUAAGUAAAGCGAAUGCGUAAAAAUAGUUUGAGUGAAUGGUGCUUUCAAAAUAGCUAAUAAACUUAAAUUCAUUUUUUUUCAAAUAAAAUCAUUUGCUUGUAGGCCUACAUAUAUUUGAUUAAAAUUAAAUGAAUAGACUUAAUUGUGUAUGUUCAUGUGUUACAUAAUAAAGUAGAUCUUGAGGUAGACAUAGAUCUAAAUCUAGAGUAAUCUAGAGUUACAUAUUGGCUUGGAUAGAAUUCAUUUUUCACGUGGGCAUGCUUGACCUUGUUAAUUAGAUGUACGCGAAUGAACUAUUAGAAUAUAUCUUAACACGGCUUCGCAGCUUUAGCGAACGAAUGCAUGAAAAAAGCUUUAGAAAAAACAAAUUUGAGUGUUAAUUUGAUUAAAAUAUGAAAUGAAUGGACUAUAAUUAGUAUGUUCAUGUGUUAAAGUAUAAAACUAUCUUUGCGAAGAUAAGUUAUAAUAUCUUACAGUUGAAUUAGAGUUUUAGACCUAGGAAUAGAAAAAAUUGUAACAUUACGGUAUUGUCUAAUGAAAGAAUGCUCAUCAGGAAUUCUACAUUCGCUGAUAUAAGGAACGAAUUUAUGUAAAAAAUGCUCUUGAAACACAAAUUUAAAGGUUAAUUUUAUUAAAAAAUGAAAUUAAGGACUUUAUUUUGCAUUUUCAUGUGUCAAAGUAAAAAAAAAAUCUGCACAAAGUGUAGUUAUUAAAAUUAGAUCUAGAUCUAGAUUUUUUCUAUCUUUUGUCAUGUAAACAUGACCUAGAUGGAUGAAGUUAUAAUGCUUUCAUAGAGUUUGUCUAGAUCUAAAUCCUUUCGUUCUUUUGUCAUGUCAACAUUGUAAACAAAGCCUAGAUCCAUAUAAUACUAUAGCUUUAAUAGAGUCGGUCAACUUUUUUUUUGAGGGUCUUAAGUUUAAGGGCUACAAUACAUACACUACUGUCUAAGUUGGUACCCAAUUAACAUUUCUGCCAAGUUUUAUCAAGAUCGGUCACACGAUUUUGAUUUCUAUGCGGGGACAUACAUACAUACAUGCAUACAUGCAUACAUACAUACAUACACCUUACUUUCUACUUUAUAUAUUAGAUAAGUAUAGUUUCCUCUAUAUCAAUUAAUAUAUCGUACUGUUUCAUUUAUUGUGUAAUAUUUGUAGUGGUAUUAUAUACAAGUAUUAGAUAAGUAUCUAAAAAAGACUUGGUAUGCGAUAGUUACAGAAGUGUAGAUGUUAUUUAUCAUUUCAGAACACUAUUAGGCUAUAGUCACGGAAGUGUAGAUGUUAUUUAUCAUUUCAGAACACUAUUAGGCUAUAGUCACGGAAGUGUAGAUGUUAUUUUUCAUUUCAGAACACUAUUAGGCUAUAGUCACGGAAGUGUAGAUGUUAUUUUUCAUUUCAGAACACUAUUAGGCUAUAGUCACGGAAGUGUAGAUGUUAUUUUUCAUUUCAGAACAUGAACAUUCACGCUUUUCAUUAGCAAUAUCCAAUACAAUGAAAUUAUUUUUCGUUUCUAAAGUUCUUUUCGAAAUGUAUUUUUGUGUAAAUCUCUUUGCUUUUUUUCUCUAUGUUGCAUUUACUUAAUGCCUACCUUUAUACGGAGUGUAUGUAAUGUCUGCAAAAUAACUAAAGAAGGAAGAAAGACAGCUAUAUUCAAACAU